UUUUUAUAUGAAAAACUAUUCUCAGAUGGUUCCCACCAAUUUUCAAAACGAUACGACGCACCAAACAAAAGUUGCAGCAAAAAACGGUGCAGUCCAACUUUUUCUGGCAUCACUGGACUUUUUGUUUGAUGACUAGUGUAGUAGUGUUUCAAAGUGUUCACUGUUCAGACCUUCCAGUGUAUGUGUCGACCAAUGUCGCGAUAAGAAACAGUUGAUUUAAGUUCUUCUGUAUUCAAACUUAAAUCCUUUGUGACAGACGUCUUCUUAGUAAUAAAGUAUUAAAUAAAGAGAGGAUGAAAUGUUCUCAAUCAGUUGAAAGAGUCUGUGCUGCCAUGCAGCCAUCAUUCCUGGGGCUGAAAUCUACAAGAUGAAAUGGUCUCAAAUCAGUAGAAAGAGUCUGUGCCGCCAUCCUGCCAUCAUUACUGAGGCUGAAAUCUGCAGGGUUUAGCUUUGCCCUACAACUUAAAAAUGAUUCCAUUUUAUUUGGAACGUUCAGACUUCAAUUGCUGGUAUACCCUCACUCACACACAAGAUAAUCAAGUUCUCCGGGACCCGCCCACGUCAAAGGAGAUCCUCAAUAUUUCUGUGACAACAGGAUCCCUUGAGAUUCCAUCCUUUUCUCAGCAUACGACCGGAAUGGAUAUCCUUUGCCAGCUUAUGGGGUCGUGAGGGCCUCACUUGCUCCCCCAUCACGCCACUCAUCUGGGAAAUGAACAACAGCAGCCAUCAACCCCAUCCAGACAACGUUGUUCUCGACAAGGACGGACACGUGUACAACCCCAUCGAUCUCGACGACAACUUCCUCAUCGUCACGAAAUUCGUCUGCUGCUCCAUCGGCAUACCUCUCAACGUGACGAUAGCGUUCACCAUUAUCCACCGCCGGCGCUUGCACAGGAAACCGCGCAACAUUUUCCUGCUGGGCAUCAUCUUCUCCUACUUGACGUUUUUCGUUCCGUCCGUCAUCAAAUUGAUUUACUGGGGACUCUAUCCCAUCGAAUCGGUUUGCCACGGUUACGUCGCCGUCGUCGGCGUCCCGCAGGGUCUCGUUUUAUUGAACAUGAUCCUGGCCCUGAUUGACAGCCAGGAUUAUCGCUCCUCUCCGCUGCGAGGUCUGCCUCCUCCACGUCAAAAUCGUUUUGAUCAUCUUGUCCGUCUUGUCCGUCGCCUGCACCGUCAUGAAUUUCAUCGUCUACCAGCAAACGAAAGCUCUGCUCGCCGAAUCUCGCCGGCUCACCUCGGCGACGACCAACAAAACGAUUGACAACGACGUCCAGGCGGAAUGGGUCGAAUUGGGGAUCGCCGGAAUCGAAUCGCAGAACUUUAGGGCCUCGUCCGGAAGUAGUUCGUUGAACGAUCAUUCCUCCCAGGUCAAGUCCAUGUCCAUCCACGUGGAUAAGACGAGAAUCAGUCAGAUCGAACUGGAGGCCACUCGCACUCUGAUUACCGGAGUCACGUCGCUCAUUGUUACGGCUUUACCUCCGACCGUAUUCGUGUCGGUUUUCCUGGGCUGCCAGCUCGUCCUUGGCGGAAUGGAGUGCAGCAGUCUCAAUUGGUUGUCGCCCUACAUGAUCGAAUUGGGAGUGAUUCACGCCGUUUACAAUCCGCUGAUAUUUAUCGCCAGGAACAAGGAAUUGAGAACGGCUCUAACGUGUCAAAUGUACAAAGGCUAAAUAACUGGGGAGCGUUUAAUUCGACAAAAACAAAAAAGGAAUCGCCGUCUAUUAUAUUUGAGGAGAAUUAAAUAUUCCAUUGUUCUUUUUCUAACGCACAGGAUGUAAUUUGCAACCUAUAUUUUUGUGAUUUACUGUUUAAUGUGAUAAAUUGGUCGCUUAUUAUCUCUGCGUGUUUGGAUUUGAGCGCUCAAAUGUCGUUUGUAUUCAAAACGAGACGUUGGUCGCCAACGGUUACUAAAUGUACACUGUAUCCUGUACAAAGGAAUAAAACAGCGUCAUUUGGCCGAGCAACCGUUUAUGUAGCUAAUACUCUAAUGACGUCAAUUGGGGCCUGUCGAUGACAUAGUAGGAAAUGGCGUGGGUGAUUUUUUUUAGUAGCCUAGACAAUUUGUAUCUAAUUAUUUGGUUAUCAUCCGAGCUAUAGGAAUCUCGGACAAUUUAGUGCUUAACUAAUUCGAGUGGAAAUGUGACGAAAUUCUGGUUGUCAAGUAAGUUUCAUACAAGACCCGUACGUUACCUGGAAUAGCCGAUCCUUCUUGGAGGAAAAGUGGCCAACAUAAGUUUCUAAUCUCUCCGAUCCGGACGAUGUCAUGGGAGUCGCAAUCUACAGGCUGUUACCAAGGACAUGGUAUCCGGAAACGUACCAGAUGUUGCUGGACCGAAACAGCUGCUGCCCGGGCUACACAAACUGUACGGAUUCACUCUGCCAAGGCUGUAUAAUCUCUUCUCUCCAUAGGCCAUCACUCCUUCAGCUAGAAAUGUACAAGAAUUGUUUAUUGAGCUGGUUAUAACGGUGGAUAAAUUCGGGAGCAAGAGUCC
rnacentral:misc_RNA from 1 species